rnacentral:tRNA from 1 species
GGGCGAUUAGUUUAGUGGUAAAACUGCCGUCUCCAAAACGGCUGUCGGGGGUUCGAUUCCCUCAUCGCCCG